rnacentral:rRNA from 1 species
UACGAGGGGGGCAAGCGUUGUUCGGAAUUAUUGGGCGUAAAGGGUGCGUAGGCGGUCUGACAAGUCUGAUGUGAAAUCUAUGGGCUCAACCCAUAGUCUGCAUCGGAAACUGUCGGGCUUGAGUAUGGGGAGAGGUGAGUGGAAUUUCCGGUGUAGCGGUGAAAUGCGUAGAGAUCGGAAAGAACACCAACGGCGAAAGCACUCUGCUGGGCCGACACUGACACUGAGAGACGAAAGCUAGGGGGAGCGAAUGGG